rnacentral:lncRNA from 1 species
UAUAUCCUCUUCUCUUUUUCUCGUUGAAAAAACCCAGAAUUCUUCGAAAGAAGACUACCCAGCUACGAAUCUCAAGAAAUUACAUGUAUUGAAGCAAUUCGAUUUGGUAACAAAAGUAAGAGAACGCAAAGUCUAGGGAUUGAGAUUGAACAUACACAUUGAAUCAAUUCGAUUUAACCCAGCUUCAACAAAGUCAAAUUGAUUAAGUUUAUUUAACAUAACUUCGAUAAUCAGAUUCAGUUCGAACUAGAUUGGUUUCACGAAGGCACAUGUGUUUAUCUCGUCGCAAAACAGUUUUAAUUAGUUCAAUUUUCGUUUGGUGUAAGAUGAGGAGAAUUAUCUGGGUUAAGGAGCCGUCGAGCUUUGGUUGGAGCAAAGGCGGGGACGGCAUUAGUGGAGGAAGAGAAACGAGAGAUAGUGAAAGAGAAGAAGAAACUGAGGGUUUUAGUGGCUGGAGGUGGAAUCAGAGGUUUGGUGUUUGCUCUUGCGGCGAAGAAAAAAGGGAUUCGAUGCUUUGGUGUUUGAAUUUGGUGAUCUAGAGCCGCUAUGGAAUCCUCUCUUCGAUUUCCUUCUUCAACAGCUUCACGGAGAACCUGGGCCGUAUCAUCUCCUUCGCCAUCUCGGCUUCGACCACUCCAUCCUUUUUCCUUCAUUCUCGUCGAAUUGUCUUGUCGUUUCUGGGUCUCUGUCUCCGUACUGAUUCCACCGCCGGAGACAAGCAAUUUUUGUCGUGACUUGGGAGGAGCUAUCUGGGUCGUGAAACAAAG